AGAGCAUGUGUCAGCAGGAGAGCAUGUGUCAGGGUUCAUCUAUUAGUCUGCCUGUGGGCCCUCGGCUUGCUCCUUCUUUGGACCAGGGUUAGCAGAGCUGCCAGGAAGGAACAUUCACCAAGGGCUCUGUGGUCACAGCCCCCCACUUCCUCCUUUGGAUUCUUACCAUUGAACCAGUACACGAGUCCUGAUUCCUCCCUGAGAUCCUGACUGCAGAGCUACAAACCUGAUGUCCCCACAGUGAUGGAAGAUCAAAGAUGUCGAAUGUUCAGGUUCCCACCACAGACUCCCUUUACCAGGCAUUCCCAGUUCGAUAAGUGGAACUUCAAACGGAUUCAUUUAUUGCAGCCCCAAAUCCAAGACUUACGUAAGUGUGUGUGUGUAUGUGUGUGUGUGUGUCUGUGUGUGUGUGUCUGUGUGUGUCCUUCAACCUCUACACCCCCAGUUAGCUUCAUCUGUGCCAGCUCCUCCAUCCACAUCUCUGCUGUCCUCCCAUAUCCUAACCCCCUCAUGACACCUGAGUCCUCACUAACUACUACUUCUUGAUGCUCUUCCUUAGCAUCUUUUGGUUCCCUCCUAUCUCCAACCUUGGCUCCUAACCCCCUUUCUCUUCCUGCUUCCUCCCGCCUGUUCUUUAACCACACCAAGCCCA